UAUUGACCAUUUGACCUCAAAUCAGGUAGGACUACCCGCUGAACUU
rnacentral:rRNA from 1 species